UUAUUCUGUGGGUUUGGCUCAGUAGCUUUUAGGAACUGAUUUCCUAAGCAUUUUCACCUGUUAUUAUCAGGGGAAUAAAACAUGAAAGGAACCCUGGGCCAGGAAAAAUGUACUUGCAGAGACCUGACGGGGAUGGUGAGAGAGGGAGAGCUCCUAAGUGGCGCAGCAGUCUAAGGCACUGCAUCUCAGUGCUAGAGGCAUCACUACAGAACCUGGUUAGAUUCCAGGCUGUAUUACAACCGGUGAUUGGGAGUCCCAUAGGGCUGCACACAAUUGGCCCAGCGUAGCCCGGGUUAGCGUUUGGCUGGGGUAGGCCGUCAUUGUAAAUAAGAAUUUGUUCUUAACUGACUUGCCUAGUUAAAUAAAGGUUCAAUAAAAUACAAAAGAAACAUG